GACGGAGGGGGCUAGCGUUGUUCGGAAUGACUGGGCGUAAAGGGCGCGUAGGCGGUCUUUUAAGUGAGGCGUGAAAGCCCUGGGCUUAACCCAGGAGGUGCGUUUCAGACUGGAAGACUUGAGUGCGAGAGAGGAAAGUGGAAUUCCUAGUGUAGAGGUGAAAUUCGUAGAUAUUAGGAAGAACACCCGUGGCGAAGGCGGCUUUCUGGCUCGCAACUGACGCUGAGGCGCGAAAGCGUGGGGAGCAAACAGG
rnacentral:rRNA from 1 species